UCCUUCCCAUUUCCCAAGUUCUGUGUGUUCCCAAAAUGCAAUUUUCCCUGUCUUCAUAUGAGAAGGAAGCCACCAUGAAGUCUUCAAAUGGAGAAGCCAUUAAACAGGGAGAGGGAUGGCAAAGAAGGCAGCCAGAUGGUACAUUUCUCCUGGAUGGCCAUAUGUCAUGGGUGCUUUGAGUUUGUUUUUCCUGCGUGGCACAGGGAUUGGACUGGAUGCUCCAUGUUUAUUUACAAAUGGCUGUUAUAGUGAAGUUCCAUGGGUCUGAACAAAUGUCUGUUGUCACUAAUGUACUGGGCCAACAAGUUGAAACUUAAUCCAGGGAAGACAGAGGUGCUCCUGGUCAGUUGAAAGGCACAAUUAAAAGUGAUGGACAUGACCCAUAAAGCCCUAUAACACUUAGGUCCAGUUGAUUUGAAAGACUGAAUCUCCCUGUAUAAAACCAUUCUUAGAUCGUCUUAUCGGCACCACAGAUCUGUUUGGUGAGGACACAGGAGGGAGCCUUUUCAGUGGUAAACUCCCUUCCAUGGGAGCUAGGUUGGCCCCUUCCCAGCUCUCCUUUUGCUGGAAACUGUUUUGCUCAAGCACGCUUUUAAUAUCUAAGUGUUUGCAGGUAGUAAAUACUCUAAAGCAGUGAUUGU